GGAUCGUGGGCGGCAUGGGCGACCGCGGCGGACUGUAAAUCCGUUCUCCCUCGGGACACCACCUGGUUCGAACCCAGGACGAUCCACCA
rnacentral:tRNA from 1 species